GAGUUUGAUCAUGGCUCAGGAUGAACGCUGGCGGCGUGCUUAACACAUGCAAGUCGAACGAACCUUCGGGUUAGUGGCGGACGGGUGAGUAACGCGUGAGAAUCUGCCCUCAGGAGGGGGAUAACGGCUGGAAACGGCCGCUAAUACCCCAUAUGCCGCGAGGUGAAAUGAAUUUCGCCUGAGGAUGAGCUCGCGUCUGAUUAGCUAGUUGGUGUAGGUAAUGGCUCACCAAGGCAUCGAUCAGUAGCUGGUCUGAGAGGAUGAUCAGCCACACUGGGACUGAGACACGGCCCAGACUCCUACGGGAGGCAGCAGUGGGGAAUUUUCCGCAAUGGGCGCAAGCCUGACGGAGCAACGCCGCGUGAGGGAUGAAGGCCUCUGGGCUGUAAACCUCUUUUAUCAAGGAAGAAGAUCUGACGGUACUUGAUGAAUAAGCCACGGCUAAUUCCGUGCCAGCAGCCGCGGUAAUACGGGAGUGGCAAGCGUUAUCCGGAAUUAUUGGGCGUAAAGCGUCCGCAGGCGGCCCUUCAAGUCUGCUGUUAAAAAGUGGAGCUUAACUCCAUCAUGGCAGUGGAAACUGAGGGGCUUGAGUGUGGUAGGGGCAGAGGGAAUUCCCGGUGUAGCGGUGAAAUGCGUAGAUAUCGGGAAGAACACCAGUGGCGAAGGCGCUCUGCUGGGCCAUCACUGACGCUCAUGGACGAAAGCCAGGGGAGCGAAAGGGAUUAGAUACCCCUGUAGUCCUGGCCGUAAACGAUGAACACUAGGUGUCGGGGGAAUCGACCCCCUCGGUGUCGUAGCCAACGCGUUAAGUGUUCCGCCCUGGGGAGUACGCACGCAAGUGUGAAACUCAAAGGAAUUGACGGGGGCCCGCACAAGCGGUGGAGUAUGUGGUUUAAUUCGAUGCAACGCGAAGAACCUUACCAGGGUUUGACAUCCUGCGAAUCUCUUGGAAACGAGAGAGUGCCUUCGGGAGCGCAGUGACAGGUGGCGCAUGGCUGUCGUCAGCUCGUGUCGUGAGAUGUUGGGUUAAGUCCCGCAACGAGCGCAACCCACGUCUUUAGUUGCCAGCAUUUAGUUGGGCACUCUAGAGAGACCGCCGGUGAUAAACCGGAGGAAGGUGUGGAUGACGUCAAGUCAUCAUGCCCCUUACAUCCUGGGCUACACACGUACUACAAUGCUACGGACAAAGGGCAGCAAGUUCGCGAGGACAAGCAAAUCCCAUAAACCGUGGCUCAGUUCAGAUCGUAGGCUGCAACUCGCCUACGUGAAGGAGGAAUCGCUAGUAAUCGCAGGUCAGCAUACUGCGGUGAAUACGUUCCCGGGCCUUGUACACACCGCCCGUCACACCAUGGAAGUUGGCCACGCCCGAAGCCGUUACUCCAACCCUUGUGGAGGAGGACGUCGAAGGUGGGGCUGAUGACUGGGGUGAAGUCGUAACAAGGUAACC
rnacentral:rRNA from 1 species